rnacentral:rRNA from 1 species
UACGUAGGUGGCAAGCGUUGUCCGGAUUUAUUGGGUUUAAAGGGUGCGUAGGUGGUUUUUUAAGUCAGUGGUGAAAUACGGCAGCUCAACUGUCGAGGUGCCAUUGAUACUGGGAGACUUGAGUACUGAUGAGGUAGGCGGAAUGGACGGUGUAGCGGUGAAAUGCUUAGAGAUCGUCCAGAACACCGAUAGCGAAGGCAGCUUACUAAGGAGUAACCGACACUGAGGCACGAAAGUGUGGGGAUCAAACAGG